rfam:Triticum aestivum genome assembly, contig: Triticum_aestivum_CS42_TGACv1_scaffold_407035_5BL
UUUGUACUCCCUCCGUCCGGAAAUACUUGUCUUAGAAAUGGAUGUAUCUAGACUUAUUUUAGUUAUAGAUACCUCCAUUUUAUCCAUUUUUAGGACAAGUAUUUCCGGACGGAGGGAGUACUGC